ensembl:lncRNA
UUUUUGGAUGUUCUGGGACGCCGUGAGAACAGAGGCUGGAUGUUGUGUUGAUGAAAUCAGGACUGGAAGUUUGUGGCUCAGCACCCGAAGGCAACACCCAGACUGAUGAAACCCGUUUAAUGUGGAGGCCGAGCUGCAGCGGGAGGGGGGGUUCAGGACACCGACUGCAGAUGGAGGGUUUUAUUUUUCCAGGGAGUCUCCCAUAAUCCAGGCUGAGAGGGCCCUGACACGCCAAUCGGAGUGAUGUACUGCUCACGGCGCGUCGCCGCCGCCGAACGCCAUGUUUAAUUCAACGCGUACCAAACUUGGACCCUCCAUCAGCAAAAGAGUCUCACUCAGACGUUCAGUAUCCACAAACUCUUGUGCUUUGUGUUUGUAAGAAAAGAACAAACCCCCGCAAACAUCAAAAAAUCUUUGACUCUGCAUUCCCAUAUCGUCCAAUUACACUAAAAUAGAGCAGAAAAAAAAAAGAAAACCUCAGUGUGAGCGCUGCCAACUCUGAUCUGAAGUUUAUUCUUUGGCCUAAUACCCAGAGAAACACAUCACAUUUCAGCAAAACCAUCCAUUAGCUUUUGAGUCACGUCCAGGCUUGAAUACCGAUCCAGGAUCUACAUCUGGAUCUCGACCAAAGGUGCAAAGUGGAGACGUCGGGCUGAUUUUAGUCAUAUUUAGACUUCCCCCGACUCAUUUGUCUUUGCUGGUAGUUACAAUGAUUUGAUUGUUGAUUCCUGUUCUGUGGAGUUUGCCCCGUCUCCUCUGCUCUCGGGCUCCCUCCGCUCUUCCUUUGGCCGCCCGGUCCCAUCACCCAGCACCAGCCAAAGAUUUAUUUUCCGAAGCCGCUCGGUGGGGCCAAGUUGCUCUUAUAAAACGGUUGCUGGAUACGCUGAAAGAAGGGCCCAAAUCAUUUAAUCAGAGGACGCCAAGAAGCUUCGCUGGGCCCCCGAGCACUUCAAAUCUGAGUGCAGUCAGGAUUGAUGUGAGCUGCCUCCCGCACAAGAGCAACGUUGUAGAUGGAGCAGAAACCCGAUGGCUUCUCCUUUUCAUUCCGCCGUUUCUCUUCCCGAUCAACCACUCAGGCAACAAGGAAAGUGCUACCAGUGCUGCUGCAUCCAGCCCGACAGAUGAGGCUCUCCAUCUCAACCCAUCCAGGUUUCGCCCCACGUGCAACCAGCAGCUUUAACAAUUCCUAUGCAGGUUUUGCUCACUCCCCCCCCCCCUCCAUUGAUCCCCUCCUCUGACAGCGCACUAACCCAUCCGCUUUCCCUUCACCCUGGACGCCUCCACGCAGGCCUGCUGCUCACGGGGCUGACAGGACGGGGCUUGUGCGGCUCCCGCGCGUUAAUGGAGAGAAUAAAUUGAGUGUCGUUUCAGCUUAACAUGGCCGACUGCCUUAAUGAGCUGUGGAUACACCGUUAAACCCACACGCUGCCACCAUGCGAUGAGCCAUUGAAAAAAAACAGGUAAUUUCCACCUUUGAGUCGCAUCACAUUUAAACUGAAGUCGACACACAGCUGCCGGGCUGGAUGGCCGAUCAAUCGCCUCCCCCCCCAACGCAAAAUGGAGAUAAGAGUUUUUCUGAGCAUCUCAGAAAUGCACCGAGGGCCCUGCUG